rnacentral:rRNA from 1 species
AUCCUGGCUCAGGAUGAACGCUAGCUACAGGCUUAACACAUGCAAGUCGAGGGGAAACGAUAGAGAAAGCUUGCUUUUUCUAGGCGUCGACCGGCGCACGGGUGAGUAACGCGUANCCAACCUGCCCAUCACUUGGGGAUAACCUUGCGAAAGUAAGACUAAUACCCAAUGACGUCUCUAGAAGACAUCUGAAAGAGAUUAAAGAUUUAUCGGUGAUGGAUGGGGAUGCGUCUGAUUAGCUUGUUGGCGGGGUAACGGCCCACCAAGGCGACGAUCAGUAGGGGUUCUGAGAGGAAGGUCCCCCACAUUGGAACUGAGACACGGUCCAAACUCCUACGGGAGGCAGCAGUGAGGAAUAUUGGUCAAUGGACGAGAGUCUGAACCAGCCAAGUAGCGUGCAGGAUGACGGCCCUAUGGGUUGUAAACUGCUUUUAUACGGGAAUAAAGUGAGGCAUGUGUGCCUUUUUGUAUGUACCGUAUGAAUAAGGAUCGGCUAACUCCGUG